AUGCUCCAACUGCAAUUAUUGUUGGCGGAGUUCAACCUUCUUCUUUUGCCAAAGCCUGUCCAAGGCACUGUCAGCAUCACCCUGCGAAGAAGCAUCCCAUGAUCAGCAUGUAAGUUUAGCACCAAACAUGCACAGCAAUUAGAAAGUGGAUAUAGAAUAAUGAAUUACUAGGACCCAUGACUGCAUUAGUCAAUAAACCCUAACAUCUCUUGUUCCAAAAGCUACAUCUGUUCCAACCAUUGCAUCACUCCCAACAAUACAGAUCAUAACAUAAUAAUUAAAUGGCAACAAGUCCAAUUAUCCUCCACUGUCAAACAUGAUUUACAAGCUCAAGCACAAUUAAGUGUUUGAUAACCGUGAUAAAAGCAAUAAAAAGAAACUGUUCAUCAAUCUGUGAAAGUGUAUUUCAAAAGUCUGCAUACCAGGCACAUAAUACGAUGACACCAAUGCCAUAAAUUUUUGGAUAAAAGUAAUUACAUUUCGUUUGGGAGGAGCGUAGGGAAGUAAGGCAAAGUUUUUUAAAGUAAGAUACGGUAAAGUAAUGAAAAGGUAUGGAAAAAUAAGGAUUGGUAAUAACUAAUAUUUAAUUUAUAAAAACUUUCCAAACACCCCAAUUUGGUGGAUUAAGAAAUUGAGGGUUUUUGGAGGUUUUAAAAACCCUCAAAAACUUUACUUUCCCCAUAAAACUUCCCUCCCAAACAAGUUCAUAUGUCUUAAUUACAUUAAAAAAACCUUAUCCUACCUCCAAAAACUUGCUCCCAAAUGAAAUGUUAAUGGAAGAUACGAUAAACUAACAAAAAAUGGAAGACACAAUAAAAGGAUUAAGUGCAGUAUUUUCAGGGCUGCUUCUUACAAAACCUUGUCAGAUGAGUAUUCUGAUUAUACAUUUUUCUCUCUCAAGUUAUGUUCUUGGUGAUAAGUCAAUACUAAAAGAUGCUGGGAUUGAAGAUUUGAAGGAUGUGGAAGCAUUCCCACCACCUUCAGAAAUUAAGGAUGCCCCAAGAUACAAAGGGGAUGUUAGUUAUUUCAUCUGUACAAGACCAGGCCGGGGUCCGGUUUUGCUCUCUGAUGAAAGUCAGGCUCUUCUCAGCCCUGAAACUGGGCUCCCUAAAUAAAAGGGGCAUCCGUUGCCCUUUUUCUUUCACUUAUGUUAUCUUGCGGUGUUGAGGCAAACCUCACUUUGAGCCUGAUGAUUGUUUUCUGUAAUUGAAGUUACAGGGAAGCAAUCCUCUGUAACUGUUCCUUACGAACUUGCAGUGAUGCGGCUUUUGUCUUGCAUUUGUAAUUCAUUUUUUUGCUUCAGGGUCCAUUUAGAGUUUACUUACUCGUGAAGAACAGUUCAUUUAAGUUUCUUUCAGCCGCAAGUCUUGAAAUAGCUUAUACAGUGAUUCAAAAAAAAAAUCUGUAUUUCUGUUGCACUGUUCAGUGAAUAAAUUCUUAGUUGUUUGCCUG
rnacentral:misc_RNA from 1 species